AACGAACGCUGGCGGCAUGCCUAACACAUGCAAGUCGAACGAGAUCCUUCGGGGUCUAGUGGCGCACGGGUGCGUAACGCGUGGGAAUCUGCCCUUAGGUUCGGAAUAACAGUUAGAAAUGACGGCUAAUACCGGAUGAUGACGUUAAGUCCAAAGAUUUAUCGCCUGAGGAUGAGCCCGCGUAGGAUUAGCUAGUUGGUGUGGUAAAGGCGCACCAAGGCGACGAUCCUUAGCUGGUCUGAGAGGAUGAUCAGCCACACUGGGACUGAGACACGGCCCAGGCUCCUACGGGAGGCAGCAGUGGGGAAUAUUGGACAAUGGGCGCAAGCCUGAUCCAGCAAUGCCGCGUGAGUGAUGAAGGCCUUAGGGUUGUAAAGCUCUUUUACCCGGGAUGAUAAUGACAGUACCGGGAGAAUAAGCCCCGGCUAACUCCGUG
rnacentral:rRNA from 1 species